rnacentral:tRNA from 1 species
GGGGUUGUAGCUCAGUGCUAGAGCACUUGCCUAGCAUGUGUGAGGCCCUGGGUUCCAUCCCCAGCACCA